rnacentral:rRNA from 1 species
AACGCGAAGAACCUUACCAGGGCUUAAAUGUAGUUUGACCGGCUUAGAAAUAGGCUUUCUCUUCGGAGCAAAUUACAAGGUGCUGCAUGGUUGUCGUCAGCUCGUGCCGUGAGGUGUUAGGUUAAGUCCUGCAACGAGCGUAACCCCUAUUCUUAGUUGCCAGCGGUUCGGCCGGGGACUCUAAGAAGACUGCCAGCGCAAGCUGUGAGGAAGGUGGGGAUGACGUCAAAUCAUCACGGCCCUUACGUCCUGGGCUACACACGUGCUACAAUGGUAGAGACAGAGGGCAGCCACCUGGUGACAGGGAGCGAAUCCUUAAACUCUAUCUCAGUUCGGAUCGAAGUCUGCAACCCGACUUCGUGAAGCUGGAAUCGCUAGUAAUCGCGCAUCAGCCAUGGCGCGGUGAAUACGUUCCCGGGUCUUGUACACACCGAAU